UACGUAGGGGGCAAGCGUUGUCCGGAUUUAUUGGGCGUAAAGCGCACGCAGGCGGUCAUGUCAGUUUCGAGUGACAGGUGGUGGCUUAACUACCACAGCCUUGAAAGACGGCAUGACUUGAGGGCUUGAGAGGGACGCGGAAUUCCAGGUGGAGCGGUGAAAUGCGUAGAGAUCUGGAAGAACACCAAAGGCGAAGGCAGCGUCCUGGCAAGUUCCUAACGCUCAGGUGCGAAAGCUAGGGGAGCGAACGGG
rnacentral:rRNA from 1 species